rnacentral:lncRNA from 1 species
GGUAUUCAAUAAGUAUUUAAUUGCCAAAUGAAUAUAAAAAAUAAAUAGAGGAAUAGAUGCUUUAUAAAUAAUAACUAAUUUUUUGGCUUAUCAUGAAUCUUCAGGAUCUAAGGGGGAAUAUAUACAGAAAUCUAAACUAAAUGAAAUGAAACGUGAAAGAACUUAGUAGAAUGCUUGGCACAUAGUAACACACAGUGUGGAUUUCUUUUUCUGUUUAUAUUAAAUUAUGUACUUUUUUUUUUUUUGAGACGGAGUUUCACUCUUGUUACACAGGCUGGAGUGCAAUGGCGCGAUCUUGGCUCACCGCAACCUCCACCUCCUGGGUUCAGGCAAUUCUCCUGCCUCAGCCUCCUGAGUAGCUGGGAUUACAGGCACGCGCCACCGUGCCCAGCUAAUUUUUUUUUUUUGUAUUUUAAUAGAGACGGGGUUUCACCAUGUUGACCAGGAUGGUCUCGAUCUGUUGACCUCACGAUCCACCCGCCUCGGCCUCCCAAAGUGCUGGGAUUACAGGCUUGAGCCACCGCGCCCGGCCUGUUUCAUGUCUUUAGACAACUUAUAUCACGUCUCUGAGCAACAAUCAAGCUACAGUAGCUUCUGUGUCUUCGAGGGCUUAAUAGAACCUACCAUGCAUGUACAUAGGCACAUAUAUAGAUAUAUACAUAUAUACAAAAAUCUGCACCAGGCAAGAUAGGGGCUGAAGGAAGGCAGUUGGGGAAAGUUUAUAAAAGUCUUUAGGAGGAGAUGGUUGUGAACCAAAUGCUGAUGAAUAGGUACCUCCCAGGAAGGCUGAGAGUUCUCCAGUCAGAGAGAGCAGUUUGAGCAAAGCAGAAGUGCGGUAGCCCAUCUUACUCACAUGCGAGCAGCUUGGUACAUAGAAUGUAAGCCAGGAGAAGAACAGGUGGAAUAAAAAUAAGGUAGGAAAGACAGGAGGGCAGAGGGGCUCUAAAAUGCCAUUCUAGGGAAAAUACAUUUUGAAUAAUGUCCUGUAGACAUAAAAAGCUAUUAAAGUUUCCAGGGUAGAAGUAAUGUUAUCUGCUUUACAUGUUACAAAAAAUGAUUGUGGCAUUAUUUGGCAAGUUGGAAGAGUUUGCAUGGGAUUUGAGAGGUGAACUCUGUUGGCUGACAAGUUGGGUUAGAAUCCCUGG